rnacentral:rRNA from 1 species
GCGGCGUGCUUCAUACAUGCAAGUCGAACGAGAAGCAGGAGCUUGCUCCUGUGGAAAGUGGCGGACGGGUGAGUAACACGUAGGAAAUCUGCCUUUGGGUGGGGGACAACAGUUGGAAACGACUGCUAAUACCCCAUAUGAGCUUGGUUGCAAUACCAAUCUUGAAAACUCCGGUGCCUAAAGAUGAGCCUGCGUCUGAUUAGCUUGUUGGCGGGGUAAUGGCCCACCAAGGCGACGAUCAGUAGCUGGUUUGAGAGGAUGAUCAGCCACAAUGGGACUGAGACACGGCCCACACUCCUACGGGAGGCAGCAGUAGGGAAUUUUGCGCAAUGGGGGAAACCCUGACGCAGCAACGCCGCGUGAAUGACGAAGCCCUUCAGGGUGUAAAGUUCUGUCAGUAGGGAAGAAUUUUGACUGUACCUACAAAGGAAGCACCGGCUAACUCCGUGCCAGCCGCCGCAGUAA